GACGAACGCUGGCGGCGUGCCUAAUACAUGCAAGUCGAGCGGACAGAAGGGAGCUUGCUCCCGGAAGUUAGCGGCGGACGGGUGAGUAACACGUGGGCAACCUACCCUGUAGAUCGGGAUAACAUCGAGAAAUCGGUGCUAAUACCGGAUAAUCAUUUGAAGUGCAUGCUUCGAAUGUAAAAGAUGGCUCCGGCUAUCACUACGGGAUGGGCCCGCGGCGCAUUAGCUAGUUGGUAAGGUAAUGGCUUACCAAGGGAACGAUGCGUAGCCGAACUGAGAGGGUGAUCGGCCACACUGGGACUGAGACACGGCCCAGACUCCUACGGGAGGCAGCAGUAGGGAAUCUUCCGCAAUGGACGAAAGUCUGACGGAGCAACGCCGCGUGAGUGAGGAAGGUUUUCGGAUCGUAAAGCUCUGUUGUUAGGGAAGAACAAGUGCCGUUUGAAUAAGGCGGCACCUUGACGUUACCUAACCAGAAAGCCACGGCUAACUACGUGCCAGCCGCCGCCGUAAGAC
rnacentral:rRNA from 1 species